rnacentral:lncRNA from 1 species
CUAGAAACGAGCUUUGGACUGUCAUUGGACGAAACAAACAAGUUGAAGAAUCGGACAUCUCAAGACUUCCAUAUCUGCAAUCAGUGAUCAAAGAAACCUUUAGGUAUCAUCCUCCUGCCCCCUUUUUAGUACCUCACAAGGCAGAAGUUGAUACAGAAAUCAAUGGGUAUACAAUCCCUAAAGAUGCACAAAUACUUGUUAACGUAUGGGCAACUGGUAGAGAUUCAAGUCUUUGGUUAAAUCCAGACUCAUUUGAGCCUGAACGGUUUUUAAACCGUGAAGUAGACUUCAAAGGCCAAGAUUUCGAGCUCAUUCCAUUUGGUUCAGGAAGGAGGAUGUGCCCAGGAUUGCCUUUGGCUGACAGAAUGGUGCAUCUCAUGGUGGCAGCUUUGAUUCACAACUUCGACUGGAAACUGGAAAAAGGAAUGAAACCCGAAGAAGUCGACGUAAGUGAGAAAUUUGGGCUUUCACUACAGAAGGCAGUGCCUCUCACGGCUUUCCCCAUCAAAAUGUCAUAGUGUCUGUAUUUCGUAGCUAAAUGUGUAGUACCUUCAACGACAAAGCCUUGCGUUGUCAUUGAAUAUGUUCUAAAAUGGCUAUCUACCUUUCUGAAUUUUGUACAAUUUGAUAUGAACUUCACAAAUUUUAACCGUUCUAUUUUUUCGAAUUCUACACUUGAGCAUAGAAAAAUGAACAAUUGAUGAGAUUCAAAUUGAAAUUUAUAUAUAAAUCUAACAGAUAACCAUGCGAUAAUUAACAGCACCAGACUCAAUUCAGAAGUUGUCACAAUAAGGUACGUGGGAAAAGUGGGUUUUAUUAAAUUCCAUAGUGGACUGUCGAAAUUCAAUUUUUAACAAGCAUUCCAACUGUUCUCUCAAAUGCAGAUACAGUAGCACAAUCAAGGGCGGACCCAAGGGGGUCCCCUAGUGUCACUUGACCCUCUACUUUUUUCAAUUUUUUUUUUUUUUUUAAUUUUUGUCUUCGUUUUCAGGCUCAAUAUGGAAUAUCAAGCGAAAUUGAAAUAUUAUAUUCUUAAUAUCAUUUUAAAGUACUCACAACCUAAUAUUUCACCUUGUUAAUGUUGUGCGAAAUGGUCAAUCGUAACAAAUGUUACGACACGUCAAAAUAGGCUAUUCUAAACUAGUAUUUCGAAAAUUUAGAUAACAAGCUAACUUUAAAAUUUUUUCGACAAUUAUACGUUAGCCAUAUCCAUAAAUCUUCUAUAUUUUCUCGAAACUCAUUUUGAGAACUAUAUUAUAAAAAUAUCAAAUUAUCUAAAUGAUUAUUGAAAAUAGUUAUACGUACGUCAAAUAUGUAUGCUAAAAAGAGACGUAUAACUCCUCUUUUUUGAAAAAAAAAAAUCAAUUAUUUUAUUAAUGUUUAUUAUUUUUGAGCGACAAAUUUUUCAAUAUAAUUUACAUAAUUUUAUUAGGAAAAUUUAAAUGUGGUAUGACGUCAAAAAUUUUUUUUUUUUGGAAAUAAAAAUUUUUAAUAAAAUUUUUAUUAUUUCCAAAGGGUUUUAAAUUGUUUUACUACUUUUUCAUCUUGAUUAUUUUUACAUAUGAAAAAAAAUUAUAUAUAAAAAAAAUUCAAUCAUUUUUUGGAUUUUUUUAAUAUUGUUACAUUUUCCUCUAGAUUAAUUAAUUUUUUUUCAAAUGAUGUCAAAAAUUUUAUUAGGAAAUUUAUUACAUUAUUUAAAAAAAUUAAUUGAUUGAGGGGAAAAAGUAACAAUAAAAAAAAUCCUAAAAAUGAUCGAACUUUUUUUUAUAUGUAAAAAUAAUAAAGAUGAAAAAAUAGUAUUACAGUUUAUAACCCAUAUAAAGUAAUAAAAAAAAAUUUGUCACUUUUUUUAAAAAUUUGAUUGUGACUCCUAAUAUGAAAUGUCUAAGUCCGCCCUGAACACAAUGGUUUGCUUAGGAUCAAUUAGUGAUAUGCUGAGGUCUAUGAAAUGGACUACGGAAAUGGAAACCGGUAAAACUGCAAAUUAUCUUGAAUUAAUAAUAAUAAAAAGCACAAAUUGAACGACUUUUAACAGUAUAAGGUGCAACAUUNNNNNNNNNNNNNNNNNNNNNNNNNNNNNNNNNNNNNNNNNNNNNNNNNNNNNNNNNNNNNNNNNNNNNNNNNNNNNNNNNNNNNNNNNNNNNNNNNNNNNNNNNNNNNNNNNNNNNNNNNNNNNNNNNNNNNNNNNNNNNNNNNNNNNNNNNNNNNNNNNNNNNNNNNNNNNNNNNNNNNNNNNNNNNNNNNNNNNNNNNNNNNNNNNNNNNNNNNNNNNNNNNNNNNNNNNNNNNNNNNNNNNNNNNNNNNNNNNNNNNNNNNNNNNNNNNNNNNNNNNNNNNNNNNNNNNNNNNNNNNNNNNNNNNNNNNNNNNNNNNNNNNNNNNNNNNNNNNNNNNNNNNNNNNNNNNNNNNNNNNNNNNNNNNNNNNNNNNNNNNNNNNNNNNNNNAAAAUAGUGCGAUCCAAUGGCUAAGACAAAUCAGACCAAGUGGUGCACCAGUUCUUGAAAUAUCACACACCUAUUCCAUGAGACACUUUAAUCUCUAUAAAUAGAGACCCCCAAAUUCGUUUUUGAUAUACCAAAUCAAUUACGAAUUCAAUUAAUUUCUAAAUUCUUCUCUCUCCAUAUUCUGCUCUAAAAAAAUUCUCUUAUAUUUCCGUGGUUAUUCCGUUCGAGUACGAUCAUUCAUUGGUUCGACCGACAAGGUUGGUAUUGUGCAGUAUCGACUUUGGAAGGAGCGUUGUAUCUUGGGAGACAGACGUUCAUAAUCCCGUUUGCACUUCAUUGGGGGGCGAAAUCUGUCUUAAGGAGAUUUGCUUAUUUUAUUGGCAUACCUCGCUUCAUUUACUGUUUUCUAUUUUCUGCUUAUUUUAUUUGUUCUUUUGAUUGCGUUAGUCGAAUUUCCGACAACAUACACAACUUCCAUGGCACUGUCGUCUUUACAGAAAUUAGUAGUUCCAGUGACGGCAUAAUUAUCUCUCUUUCAACUUUCAAGCAUCUGACUGUGGAGACCAGUCAUUUCAAGGAAGAAAUAAUUCAACAAUGGUUAUUCUGCUUAAGGCGUCAUUUUUUUUACCCACUAUCAUUUGUAAAAUCAAAAUUAUACUCCUCCAAAUCAAACUGCAUGGUGUGAUUUCAACUCCAAAUAAUUUUCUCCGAAAGUGGCCUCGAUUUUCAAAUCCACUGUUUCACCCUCGAAGCUGGCUGGGGCACGAAUCACGAUCAAACUCAUAUUAAAGCACUGCCGCAGUAAAGCAUGUAUCCUCCUUCUCAGCCAUCCCAAUUCAACCCGUCUUCCCGCUGGGAGUGGGUGUUUAUUGGAAAUUGAAGAGAUUACCCGGCAAAAUUAUCAUUAAUUAACAUUUUUUUGACUGCAAAAAUAAUAAUUAAGUCCCUCUACCUUCUUUAUUACGGGGUCAAAAAAUAAAGUUAUUAUUAUUAUUAUUGAACUUCAUAAUACUAGUAAAAACAAUUCAAUACAUUACCAUAAAUAUUGCACGUGAGAGUACUAAAAUUUUUUCUUGAUUUCUUCUGCUCAAAAUUAACGAUUUCUAUAACAUGAUGAAUGAAAAUGUUAAUUCUUUAUAAGGUAAUUAUAUUCACACUACAAUUUUUAUUUCUUGCACCACAUUUUAUUUUCAUUUAAGGUUGAGAGUGAGGGACAAAUUUUUAAAGAUUGUACUUCAAAAAUUAGAUUUAUGGCUUACUUAUUCAUAAAUCAGGUGAUAAUUCAAUUGUUAAUAUUAAUAAUAAUAUUAUAAAAUUAAUUAAUCCACCCAGAUGUCGCCACCCCACUACACCCCACCUCAACUCCAAUUCACUCUGGACCCAUUUUCAUUCUCUCCUUCCCUCUUUCUCUAUCUUCUCCAUUCUUUCUCUACUAUCUGUUUUUUUGCCCCCUUUUUUUUUUUUUUUUUUUAUCUUUAUUCAUUAGAGUGCUGGAGUAGUAGCUCCCUAAGCGCGACACACAGCAACCCCUCAAAUCGUCGCCUCUCAGGCGACAAUGGCGCUUAGAUUGCGCACAAUGAUUCUUAGAACAUCGGUAAUCUGACCCACGACAUUUAGUUCGUCGUUGUGCGUUGCGAUGGGUUUGCCGCAAGCAUCGCUGCAACGGUGAACCUCAAGUCAUCGAAAGCGCCUAUUCUGUGGUGUUAUACGGUGGUUUGUGGUUAUUUUUGUUGUGAUUUUGCAACGAUUUGUGGUGAUUUUUGAGAUCGUGGUGGUGGCGGCAAUGACGAUGAUCAUAUGUUCAUAGUGUAUAUCAAAUGUUGUGUUGAUAUUUAUUAGUGGUUUCAGUCGUGGUGAUCACAAGUCACAUAUAUUAAGUCACAAAUCAUUGUGUAUAGAUCAUAGAUAAAGUUCCACAUAUCACUGAUCAAAGAGAAUUUAUCACAAAUCAUAUUUGUAUGUCACAGGUCACAAGUAGACCAAAAUUAACUAGUCACAUAUCAUAUGACACAUGUCUUUGUGCACUAAUAACAUGUCAUGGAUUCAAAUUCACAGAUCACAUUUCAUAUGUUAUUGGUGACGAGUAAUAGUUCAUAGGUCACAGCUCGUAUGUUACCUUUAGAUUAAUUAUGAAAUAACCCUACUCUACAAAAAGAAAGAGGAAGAAAAAAUAAAUAACAAUUUUAAGAACACAAAUAAUAAUAAUAAUAAUAAUAAUAAUAAUAAUAAUAAUAAUAAUAAUAAUAAUAAUUAUAAAGUCAAAAUUGGAUGGUCAGCCCGGUCAGCUGGCCCGCAUGACACCACCCUUGUCCCAAUUUUGUAAAACUUAUUUUUAUUUAAAUUUAUUUUCAAUUAUACAUUUUAUGAUACCUUCAACUUUUAUCAAAUUUAUAGUCAUACAUUUCAUAAAAAACUACUUAAAAUUGAUUUUUAGCCAAAUCAAACAUGGACUAAAUUAAAGAGUCAACAACAAAUAAGGAAUUAUUAAAUAAUAUUGAGAUCAUUAUAGUUAAGAUAACUUUUCUCUAAUCUUUUAUAUAGUAAAGAUAUAUUAAAGUUGACAAUACGGUUGAUUUUUUUGAUAAGUAAUCAAAUAUUUUAUUAAUCACUGAUAAUACACAGCGGUGUGUUAUCAAUUAAUACAAGAAAGAAACAAUUUAAAAUUAGGUAACCUGUCUAUACGAGUAAAAGCCAUAUCAUUAAACCAAGUAUAUAAUAUCAUAUAAAAUAAUUCUUUAAUCUGCUCAGUUGUUCGUGUAUGAUCAUCAAAACAACUAUUGUCUCUCUUCCUCCUCACACGCUAAACAAUGCAUCCUGAAAUAAGAUCAUAGACAAGUGUGCUAUCCUAGACAAUACGAUUGAAUUUUAAGAAUAAAUGUUGAUAUUUUAUUCAAUAAUCUCUCGAAUAAUGUUAAAUCUAUUCUCAAAUAUGACACAACUAUAUUUUUAUGACAGAUAGCGAUCAUACAAGAGUGCAUGAAUUUUUAUGAACACUGUAAGAUUCACAUAGAGCAUAGCAGUUAUUUCUAUCCCUUAUCAGACCAUAUGACGAUCUACACUAUGUUGUGCCUAUUUUCCUGUGAAUUAUUCAAAAUCCAAAAACGUGUUUUCAAUGUCAAAUAUGUAAAGCUAGAGAUUAAAAAUUCAUAUUACACGGUUCAUCGUUCUCCUAACACAAAGAAAUUUAGCCUAAUGGUCAUUUGAUUUCCCACAAAUGGAGGGGAUCGUGAAUAAGUAAUAGAAUGGUGAAUUAAGUGUUGAACCCACAAGAACUAUGUGAUUGAUUGAGUUAUAGCUAUUAAUACCCUUAAUCAAAUAGCAAUAAAUAGUUAUAACAUCUUGAAGUCUAAAUUAUCAACUAACUUGAAAGUAAAGCAAAAGUUUAUCAAAUAUGUGAAAGUAUUGCUAAGAUGUAGCAUCUCUCUUGCUAAUCCAAUUUUUUAGUUCAACAAUUUAAAUUGACAAUUUAAAAUCAUGCUUGUUGAUCAAUGUUCCUAUUUUAUUUAAUAGUUUAUCUCGUUAGCAAUUAAAUCUAAUCCUACACGUGACCUUCCUAUAUCUCUAUGAAAGGUACGAACGUGCAAGAAAGCAUUAAAUGAGCUAGAACAUUCAUAAAAUCAUGUGAAGCAUACGAGUAUAUCUCUAUUAUCUAUCGAACCUCGCAAUAUUUAUCACUAUGAGCUAUUGGUUCUAUAUCUCUCUCAAUGAUAAUAAAACCCACAAACAAUUCAACUAUUGACCAAUUAAUUGAAAAGCAAACUAAUCAAUGAUAAACAUCUAAACACUCAAGCAAAUUAACGUCAAUUCAAUUAUUUAAAUCAAAAAAAUUAUAACAAGAGUUCAUCCCAUCCCAACAAUGUAAAAAUCUAGCAAAGCAUAUUGUCGAAAUUAAAUAAAGAAACGAUAAAAAACAUCAACAAAAAUUGGUAGAACGUGAUUAAUUCCUCCCAUUUUUAAUUCCAGUCGCCAAUUCCCUCCUCUGCCUUUUCUUGUGUAUAUUAUUAGGGAAAUGAUAUUUGUAUCCGGGCGUUUACAUGCCCCUCACAUGGGGGACUACGCUGGACCCGUCCCCCAUUUGAGGGGCGUGUAAAUGCAUGGGUACAUGUAGCUCAACCCUUUUAUGUAAUUUCAGCAACAAGUAUCAUUUAUAAAUUGGUUCGGCAACAUUUAUGCGCAGGACUCGUCCCUCAUGUGACGGGCUUGUAAACGUCCGAGUACAUGUAGUUCAACCCUUUUAUGUAAUUUCAGCAGCAAGUAGCCAUGUAUAAAUUCCUCUAGCAGCCGCAAUGCUUGACUCGAAAGUGACUCUAAUUCUUUCUCUGUUUCUGUGUUUGUAUAUAUACUAGUUUCGCACUCGUACAAUGCACAUGCCAUGUCAUUUUUUGAGUAAUAUUACCGUGUCAAAAUAUCUAUUCAUUUCUCUCAGUAAAUCUACAAAUUUGAUUAAUUGUUUAAAAUGAUAAAUGGAAAUGUAAUCUUCAUAUAUGACACACACUCUAUAUCAUCAUAUACUAUUAUUAAUCAAUAAUAUACACGAGUGUACUUGAGAGUUCAAGUUGAAGCCAAAAAAGUUCAUAGUUGUCCAAAAUAAUCGAUACACAUAAAUGGAAAUGUAAUCUUCAUAUAUGACACACACUCUAUAUCAUCAUAUACUAUUAUUAAUCGAUAAUAUACACGAGUGUACUUGAGAGUUCAAGUUGAAGCCAAAAAAGUUCAUAGUUGUCCAAAAUAAUCGAUACACAUAAAUGGAAAUGUAAUCUUCAUAUAUGACACACACUCUAUAUCAUCAUAUACUAUUAUUAAUCGAUAAUAUACACGAGUGUACUUGAGAGUUCAAGUUGAAGCCAAAAAAGUUCAUAGUUGUCCAAAAUAAUCGAUACACAUAAAUGGAAAUGUAAUCUUCAUAUAUGACACACACUCUAUAUCAUCAUAUACUAUUAUUAAUCGAUAAUAUACACGAGUGUACUUGAGAGUUCAAGUUGAAGCCAAAAAAGUUCAUAGUUGUCCAAAAUAAUCGAUACACAUAAGAUAUAUGAAAAAAGAGCUACCGAAACUUAUAUAUAAUAUUUUUUGACACAUUUUUUAUGUGCGUUCAACUAUUUUCGAUAUUUAUUUAAAUCAUUCAAUAUAUCUAUGAUAUAGUUCUCGAAAUGAGGUUCGAUAGAAUAUUGAAAAUUUAUGCAUUUGACUACCGUACAAUCGUCAAUAAAUUAUUAAAGUUAGCUUAUUAUCGAAAUUCUUAAUUUUUUAAAUGAUGUCUCUUUUGACAUUAAAAAUAAAUUUAAAAAAUUAUUAGGAAAUUUUUUAAAUGACGUCAAAAUUUUUAUUAUAUUAUUUGAAAAAUUAAUUGAUCGAGGGGACAAAGUAACAAUAAAAAAAAUUCCUAAAAAUUAUCGAAUUUAUUUUAUAUAUAAAAUUUUUUCAGAUGUUAAAAUAAUUAAGAUGAAAAAUUAGUUGGCCUCAAUUUUGUAUUUUUAUAAUUGAAAUAUAUUUUCUGAAGAUAGGAUAAAUGCUCCCUUGAUGCAUGGAUUAAAAACCAAAUUUGGAGCUCAUAAUUUAUUUAUCAAACAUUAUUUUAGUUUGAUGGUUAUUUUAUAUAUAAAGGACAUAUUUAAUGAUAAUUAUAUUCAAUAUAAUUAAAUCGUAUAAUUAAUCGAAUCUUUUUUUAUUGUUCAAUAGUCAAUCAAUUUAAUGAAAAAAAUUUUAUUUACGUGUAAUAUUAUUUUAUCGAAAAUUCUGCUAUUGAAAAUAAAAGAAAGAAAAAAAAGAUUUAAUGGAGCCAAACACAAGCCGAGUCAUAGUAUAAUAUUUUGUCACUUAAAUGUGGUUGAGAUUUUUAUUUAAUCACCCAAUUUUGAUAUAUUUGAUUUAAUCCUCCAAAAUUUAUAUACAUCUAAAAUAUUCAAUAUCGUCAAAUAAAUUAUUCGACAUCUUUUUGACCGAGUAUUAAAUUUUUUCGACAUUGUGUUAAGUUUUACUUUAAUUUAUCGCAACUGUUUUUAAGAAGUAAAAAAUAUACAUGAUUCAACAUACUCCGUAUCACGUUAUAAGGGCAAAAUAGAUUUGAAUAAAAAAAAUAUAUCAAUCACUAAAAAAAAAAAGAAAAAAAAUUAUGAAAAUGCUUCGUGAUUAAUUUGUUCCUGACACCCGGGAGCAAUUUUCUCCGUGCAUAAUGGAGCAAAUGCUCCGUGACGCAAUUUUUUUUUUUAAAUGAUGCUAAGUGUCAAUUUUAUUUUAUUUUAUUUUUUUUCAUUGGGUGGUUGAUAUCUUUUUUGUGAAUUUUUUUUAUUGCAUUGGGUGAUUUAUUUAGUUUUUUUUUAUAAAAAUAUACCAUAAAUCUUCAUAAAUCUUUUAUAUUCUCUCGAAGUUCAUUUCGAGAACUAUAUCAUAAACACGUCGAAUGAUCUAAAUGAAUAUCGAAAAUAGUUAAACGUAUAUCAAACUUGUGUGUUAAAAAAUGAGUUUUAACUCAUUAUUUUUUCUUUAAAAAAUCAAUUAUUUUAUUAAUGUUUCGCGAUAAUUUUCUCAAUAUAAUUUACAUCAUUUUCUUAAAAAAAAAUUAUGUGUAUGACGUCAAUAUUUUUUUUUAGACAUAAAAAUUCAAAUCAGACAAAACGGGGAAUCAAAUCCUUUAGGUAGCACACUAUUUUUGACUUUUUGUUAUUUUCUCUACAUACAAAAAGGCCAUUAGACCCUUAGUGUGAGAGUUACUAUGUGAGGGAGUUGAGAGUAAAAUGGGAAACACCUAAAUACGUUCUGAAUGAAUAAUAACCGGCUAAUUCGCUAUUUUAAGAUAGUAGUGAGAGUAGUGAUUGAUCAAAAGAGUAGAGAUUUUGUUAAUUAUUUGAGGACAAAAAGGGAAAUGAAAAUACUUCAAAAAUGAAUAGUAAAUGGCAUAUUGAAAAAGAGUAGAGAUUUUGUUAAUUGUUUGAGGACAAAAUGGGAAAUGAAAAUAUUUCAAAAAUGAAUAGUAAAUGGCAUAUUCUGUCUUUUACGAUAGUAGUGACAGUGAUAAUAUAGCCUCAAAUCUUGACUCCUCCAAGCUGGUUAUUUUUUCUUAGCGUGCAUGCAUGUGUGUGUGUGUAUAUAUUUCAAUAGCAGCUGCCCAAUCUUGUUCUCCUUGAAUUCCAAGACGGUAGCCCAUUUUUUCUUCCAAAACAGAAAGUGUUGGCUGCCCUUUUUUAUUCUCCAACAACUGCCUUUGAUUUUUUUCCCAGAAGCUGCCGUUUUCUCCCAAAAAUCAGCUACCUUUUUUUGUGGUUUUUUUUCUCUCCAGCCAAAAGCCGACUUUGUUUCUUCCCGAGAAUUCCAAUUUUAUGUGAAUUUCAGCCCAAGAAAAUUAAUGCUGGGCCCAAUUGGGUUUGUUUUCAACAGGAGUCCAAGUUGAGGCCCAAUUAAAGUAUUAUUUUCUUCGAAGUUUCAUCUUUUCCAAGUAAUGAAAGUUAGUCCUUGUACUUUGAAUUUGCCAUUUUUCGUUAUUGUUUGCUUAUUUCCCUCAAUUCCUUUUCAUUUAUAGAAUUUACCUAUAAAACAAAAAAUACAAUAAUUAAGGAACUAAUUUGUCAAAAAAACUAUCAAAUAUUGUUAUUUUAGGAUUCCGAAUAAGCGUAUAGAAUACACUUAUCACCUAACAUAUUAUGAAGAUGAAAACAAGAAUCAUAUAUAGUAGACAUCACCCAAAUAAUGAAUUUUGAUUGGAUUUUGAUGUCGUGGAAUCUCUCUUGAUGUUUCUUGCCGUCUUUUAUGCUCUCUAAUGCAUAGUAAACUACUUCUCAACUAUCAUAAGUUUUUAAAAGAUGUCUCGAAUAUUGUUUUCAUAAGAGAUGAAGUCGUGCAAAAAAACCAGAAAUUUUCCUCCAAAAAUGUACUAUGCUAUGACAUAAUUCAAUCGCAUGGUAUAGCAUAGUUCAACAAACUUCAGCCUUGAAAAUUCGUGUUGCCCACCAUGCGACCGCAUGUAUAAAUGUAUUAUGCUAUAGUAUGGUUACUAUAGUAUACGCAAAGAUCUAAUUUUUACAUUUUAGUCCCUGAACUUCAUUUUUUUCAUUUCUUGAUCUCUUUUCUCACCUCUUCUUUUUCCAAUACUUCAUUGCUUUGCUCAAUUGGUCUUCAACUCUUUCACAUAUUCAUUUCUUCUUUCGAAACAUCUUUUGACUAUUUGAACUUUGGUCCCUAAACUUUGAUUUUCUUCCAUUUUAGUUCUUUUCAUUUGGUUCUUCUAAAUUCUACCAUAUUCAUCAUUUAUAUAAUAUUUUAAGCCCUAUUUCAAUAUAUUUACUCACAAUUAUUCAUAACUUAAAUAAGUGUAUAAAAUGCACUUAUCAUGUUAUAAAAGUAACCACCUUAAUUAAGGUCUAGUAUUAUCGUACCAAGUGCUAGAGUGGAGUCUAGUAUUAACUAGUAGUCGUUUAUUUGCACAAAGUUUAAUAUAUUGAUUGAAUAAUGUUAUAUACUUCUUCAUCGGGCAAUUAUAAAGUUAUUGUAGCUUUUAAUUAUCUUAAUAAAUAUUAUCUGUUAACCAGCACAGUGACUUUGACUUUAAAUAUAACUAUCUAAUUUUGUACCAUAGUUCAAAAGUUCUUUAAUUUUCCCCGAUAAAUCCGCCAGGUUAUAAGAGCCAUGUCAAAAUCAAAAAUCAAAAAUCAAUUGCAUCAGACGAAAUUUUUGGCUUAAGUAUGUCUUCCAGGAGACUAAACGGCAAUGAUUUUGACAAAUACUAAAAACAUGGAACAUAAUUUGCAGCUAUAAAAUUCAUAGGAGUCUCAUACGAAGAGGAGCAAAGAAAAAAUCAAUGGAUUUUCUAACAUCUUUCCUUGUAGUAUUAUCUUUUGUAGUGUGGCAUUUCUUGAGAUCAAAUCUAAGGCUCCGGAGAUCAGGCAAGUUACCCCCGGGGCCUUACCCUUUUCCGAUAAUCAGUAACAUUCUACAACUUGGCAAAAAUCCCCACCAAUCGCUAACCAAACUCUCCAAAAUUUAUGGUCCUCUCAUGUAUCUAAAGCUGGGGAGCAGAAAUACAAUCGUCGUCUCGUCACCAGAUAUUGCCAAACAAGUACUACAAAAACAUGACCAAGUCCUUUCUUCUCGAACAAGUCCAGCCGCAGCAGCAGCAUAUGAUCAUUUCAAGAAGUCUCUGGUCUGGUUGCCUGUGGGUAGCCAGUGGCGAAAUCUUCGUAAAAUUUGUAAAGAGCAAAUGUUUUCGUCACAUAGGCUUGAUGCAAGUCAGGGUCUUCGGCAAGAAAAAUUGAAGAAACUGUGCAACUAUGUGCAUGACUGCUGAAUUAGUGAUCAAGUAGUUGAUAUUGGUGGUGCCGCGUUUAUCACUUCGCUUAAUCUCAUGUCAGCCACUCUUUUCUCAGUUGAUUUUGCUCAGUUUAAUUCCAGUUCUUCUCAAGAAACGAAAGAACUUGUACGGGGUUUGAUGGAAGUUGGAGCGGUUCCUAAUCUUGCAGACUUCUUCCCAGUUCUCAAAUUCAUUGAUCCACAAGGUAUUCUCAUUAGUGAUCAAGUAGUUGAUAUUGGUGGUGCCGCGUUUAUCACUUCGCUUAAUCUCAUGUCAGCCACUCUUUUCUCAGUUGAUUUUGCUCAGUUUAAUUCCAGUUCUUCUCAAGAAACGAAAGAACUUGCACGGGGUUUGAUGGAAGUUGGAGCGGUUCCUAAUCUUGCAGACUUCUUCCCAGUUCUCAAAUUCAUUGAUCCACAAGGUAUUCUGCGCGAAUGCAAGAGUUACAUUAGCAAAGUAUUUGUAAUAUUUGAUGAUUUGAUCAAUCAACGGCUGAAGUUGAGAAACGAGUCACCAGAUCAUCCGGCGAGAAACGAUUUACUUGAAGCCAUCCUGAAUUACAGCCAAACAAACGAUUCCGAAUUAACCUUUGAUGUUCUGAAACAUUUACUUUUGGUGAGUAAAAAGAACUUAUAGUCAACCUCUUCUGUUUUUCAAAAUGGUAAAGGUCUACGGAAAAGAAUAGUGAACUCUUAUUGAAUGGUUAGCCAUUAUUGAUCACUAAUUUCUUGCAAAUACUAGGAUUUAUUCAUUGGAGGAACAGACACUACUGCGAGCACUGUGGAAUGGAUAAUGACUGAAUUAAUACGCAAUCCUGAGAAAAUGUCUAAAGCUAGAAAUGAGCUUUGGACCAUCGUUGGACGAAACAAAGAAGUAGAAGAAUCGGACAUCCCAAGACUCCCAUAUUUGCAAUCAGUGGUCAAAGAAACCUUUAGGUAUCAUCCUCCUGCCCCCUUUUUAGUACCCCGCAAGGCAGAAGUUGAUACAGAAAUCAAUGGCUAUACAAUCCCUAAAGAUGCACAAAUACUUGUUAACGUAUGGGCAACUGGUAGAGAUUCAAGCCUUUGGUUAAAU